rnacentral:ncRNA from 2 species
UUAAGGUGUGCGGGACAACUUCAUCCGUACCCGAUCGGGGGAAGCCGGUGGAAAUCCGGCGCUGACCCGCAACCGUGAGGACGGCCCGUCCGUACCGCGCCGGCUGGCCCGGCAGGACGGCCGUACGAGCCGGAACACCCGAGGGGGCACGACCAAGGCU